AUGAUUCCCGAGCUUUUCAUGAUGAUGAAAUCGAUGAAGGUAGAAAUCAAGAAAAAACAUCAAGUGUUGAUGAUUAACAAGACCACUAGUUUCAAGAAAAGGGCAAAGGGAAAGAAAGGGAACUUCAAGAAGAACGGCAAGCAAAUUGCUGCUCAAGUGAAGAAUCCCAAGUUUGGACCUAAGCCUGAGACUAAGUGCUUCUACUGCAAAGGGACUGGUCAUUGGAAGCGGAAAUGCCCUGAAUAUUUAGUGGAUAAGAAGGAUGGGAAAGUGAACAAGGGUAUAUUUGAUAUACAGGUUAUUGAUGUGUACCUUACUAGUAUUUAUAGUAGCCCUGGGUAUUUGAUACUUGUUCGGUUGCUAAAAAUUAGUAACUCGAAAUAG
rnacentral:rRNA from 1 species